CCUACGGGAGGCAGCAGUCGAGAAUCAUUCACAAUGGGGGAAACCCUGAUGGUGCGACGCCGCGUGGGGGAAUGAAGGUCUUCGGAUUGUAAACCCCUGUCAUGUGGGAGCAAAUUAAAAAGAUAGUACCACACGAGGAAGAGACGGCUAACUCUGUGCCAGCAGCCGCGGUAAUACAGAGGUCUCAAGCGUUGUUCGGAAUCACUGGGCGUAAAGCGUGCGUAGGCUGUUUCGUAAGUCGUGUGUGAAAGGCGCGGGCUCAACCCGCGGACGGCACAUGAUACUGCGAGACUAGAGUAAUGGAGGGGGAACCGGAAUUCUCGGUGUAGCAGUGAAAUGCGUAGAGAUCGAGAGGAACACUCGUGGCGAAGGCGGGUUCCUGGACAUUAACUAACGCUGAGGCACGAAGGCCAGGGGAGCGAAAGGGAUUAGAUACCCUAGUAGUC
rnacentral:rRNA from 1 species